rnacentral:rRNA from 1 species
GACGAACGCUGGCGGCGUGCCUAAUACAUGCAAGUUGAGCGCUGAAGGUUGGUACUUGUACCAACUGGAUGAGCAGCGAACGGGUGAGUAACGCGUGGGGAAUCUGCCUUUGAGCGGGGGACAACAUUUGGAAACGAAUGCUAAUACCGCAUAAAAACUUUAAACACAAGUUUUAAGUUUGAAAGAUGCAAUUGCAUCACUCAAAGAUGAUCCCGCGUUGUAUUAGCUAGUUGGUGAGGUAAAGGCUCACCAAGGCGAUGAUACAUAGCCGACCUGAGAGGGUGAUCGGCCACAUUGGGACUGAGACACGGCCCAAACUCCUACGGGAGGCAGCAGUAGGGAAUCUUCGGCAAUGGACGAAAGUCUGACCGAGCAACGCCGCGUGAGUGAAGAAGGUUUUCGGAUCGUAAAACUCUGUUGGUAGAGAAGAACGUUGGUGAGAGUGGAAAGCUCAUCAAGGGACGGUAACGACCCAGAAAGGGACGGCUAACUACGU